rnacentral:rRNA from 1 species
GAUGAACACUGGCGGCGUGCUUAACACAUGCAAGUCGAGCGAUGAAGUUUCCUUCGGGAAAUGGAUUAGCGGCGGACGGGUGAGUAACACGUGGGUAACCUGCCUCAUAGAGUGGAAUAGCCUUUCGAAAGGAAGAUUAAUACCGCAUAAUGUUGAAAGAUGGCAUCAUCAUUCAACCAAAGGAGCAAUCCGCUAUGAGAUGGACCCGCGGCGCAUUAGCUAGUUGGUGGGGUAACGGCCUACCAAGGCGACGAUGCGUAGCCGACCUGAGAGGGUGAUCGGCCACAUUGGGACUGAGACACGGUCCAGACUCCUACGGGAGGCAGCAGUGGGGAAUAUUGCACAAUGGGGGAAACCCUGAUGCAGCAACGCCGCGUGAGUGAUGAAGGUUUUCGGAUCGUAAAGCUCUGUCUUUGGGGAAGAUAAUGACGGUACCCAAGGAGGAAGCCACGGCUAACUACGUGCCAGCCGCCGCAGUAAUAC